ensembl:lncRNA
CACAGCUUUUGAGAACGCAAGGUCACCUUUACAGAAUGAUGUGGCAAUUGGAGAAGGACUUUGGCGGAGGUCUAUGAAUAAUAAUCCAGUAAAUUCAACUUUCUUUGCUGCUGUGCCCUAACCACAUUACACCCUUGGAAAAUGUAUACUUAGUGACUAAUGACUUGGGCUAUAAACAUUAGUUAGCAAAUUUCCCUCUAAUUAUGUGUAAAUUUGAUUAAAAUAAUCAUAAUUUGCACAUGUCCAUUCAAUAAUUUUCUUUAGUGCUUUAUGCCAUGCAUUAAAAGCAUGCUUGGAGAGACUUAUCAGAUGCAACAUUUUUCUUACAGAGAUUUUAAAAAACCCAAGCUCCUAAAUGGAAACUAAGUAACUUGCACUCCAAGAGCUCAGGUCUACUCUUUCCAUGUUGUCUCAUUUCUAGUGAUUAUUUCACACAAGGAGAUAAAAGCCACUGACUCAAAGCUUUGGGUGAGUUUGCUGCCCUGCAGUGCUAUUUUCUUCUCACUUAAAUGAUGAUGAUGAUGGCAUUGAUGAUCAUUUAAAGAAUGUCAAGAACUCGUCGGCUGUUAGAACACAAUUCUGACUUUCAUGCUCAAACAAAAUGUGAAGAACUGAGCAGUCAAUCACUGACUUCCAAAGUUCAGAGGGCGACGGAACUCAUUGUAAAUGACUACGAGAAGAGGCUGCUGGACACAUUUCACCAAAAGAGGCCCAAUGAUGCCAUGGGGUGAAAUCUCUACUUGUAAGUGAAUUGGAUUUAAGUGAGGGAGAGUUGCACCACGUCAUCAGCCUCACUCUUUUCCACAGCCACUGAAGUCCAGUGGUAAGUCAAAAGUCAGGCUGAUUGGUAAUGGCUCAAGAUGCAGUGAAUGAAUUUUACUUCCUCCAUGUCUGCCUCAGUUGUAAGUGCUCCACAGCUCCUGCUUCAGCUGCCUUCAUGGUCACUGGAACAGCUGGUGGUUCUCCUCAUUGUUUGCUACAUAAAUGUUAUUAUCAUCAUUAAUUAAGGAGGUUUUAGUGUAGAGUUGAUUGUAAUGGAUUUGAAUCAGAGGACUUAGGUAGAAAUCUACCUUCAGCACUCUACAGGGCUUCUCUGAGCAUCAGUUUUCUCAUCUAUAAAAUGAAGGUGUUGGAUUAGAUGUGCUCUAAGUUCUUGUCUAGCUCUAAAUCCCAUGAGAAGAAUUUUCCUGGAACUGCAUCCAAUUCUUGAGAAGCCUUUGAAAAUGUCUGCCUUAAUUCUCUGCUUCCACUGACAGGGCUUCUUCUGUCACUGGUUUCCCUUCAAGAAAUGCCAUCCUCAACUCACUGCUUCCUCUUCUGUGGCACUUUGAGCUGCUGCCACAGCCUCUACUGCUUCCCUCGUCAGUUGCCAUUGUCAUAUCAUAUGUUAUCAAUGUCAUCUCUUCUUCCACUCUGACUUCCUUCUCUGUUACUGACCCCUGAGCAACAACUGACCUAAUAUUGAGAGGCUAGUGUUUCCAUUCUUUAUUCUUGAUCCUCAAAGCCCUCAAUACCCAAUCUACUUGGCCUCCACAUAUUAUAAAUUUAAAAUAUUUUUAAAAAUCCUUUUGGCUGACUUUAUUACAAAGAGACUUUAGUGUUUACAGAGAAUUUAUAAAUCUAGGCAGUGCUAUACCUAUUAGGAAGUAUUUAGUUCUUUCUUUUGACCAAAAUCAAACUUGGCUGAUCCGUUUCAGAGAUACUGGUAUAUAAAUCACUUCAAUUGGCAUU